rnacentral:rRNA from 1 species
GACCAGACUCCUACGGGAGGCAGCAGUGAGGAAUAUUGGUCAAUGGCCGAGAGGCUGAACCAGCCAAGUCGCGUGAGGGAAGAAUGUCCUAUGGAUUGUAAACCUCUUUUGUCAGGGAGCAAAGUCACCCACGUGUGGGUGUUGGAGAGUACCUGAAGAAAAAGCAUCGGCUAACUACGUGCCAGCAGCCGCGGUAAUACGUAGGUGGCAAGCGUUGUCCGGAUUUACUGGGUGUAAAGGGCGUGCAGCCGGAGAGACAAGUCAGAUGUGAAAUCCACGGGCUCAACCCGUGAACUGCAUUUGAAACUGUUUCCCUUGAGUGUCGGAGAGGUAAUCGGAAUUCCUUGUGUAGCGGUGAAAUGCGUAGAUAUAAGGAAGAACACCAGUGGCGAAGGCGGCUUACUGGACUGUAACUGACGUUGAGGCUCGAAAGCGUGGGGAGCAAACAGGAUUAGAUACCCGAGUAU